GCAGGCGGCCGGAUGAUCGCUGCCGGGCCAUGCGCAAGCGUGGUCCGGGGGAGGAAAGUCCGAACUCCGCAGGGCAGUGUGCCGGAUAACGUCCGGGACGGAGGUUUCAAGACCUCUGGACGGCCAGUGCAACAGAAAACAUACCGCCUCUGGCGCAAGCCAGCGGUAAGGGUGAAAAGGUGCGGUAAGAGCGCACCGCACGUCUGGUAACAGACGCGGCAUGGUAAACCCCACACGGAGCAAGACCAAAUAGGCAGGGAUUUCGCCGCUCCUCUGCAGGCGGCGAUGGCGUAUCGGCCCGGUGCGCCCAGGCGCAGAGAUUUCGCGAGCGAAAGCUCAAGGAAAGCCGAAACCUGCGGGUAGGUUGCUGGAGCGGCGCAGUAAUGCGUCGCCUAGAGGAAUGAUCAUCUAAAACAGAAUUCGGCUUAUGGGCCGUCUGCAAAA
rnacentral:RNase_P_RNA from 1 species